CCGUAAGAGUUCACCACUCAUCUACAUCAUUUUUCAGCACAACUCUGUAUGGACGUGCUCAGUAUAUUACUUUGUAGUUAUCAUAAAUUAGAGCAUGACCCAAAGCUCAUUGAAGUUGCUGGACACAGCUGGAUAUGGAACACUGAAUGGGGUGGACCAGCGCUCUGAGAGGGUACAGAGAAUUGUUGUUCUAGAUGCUGGGCUGGUGUGACUUGCUCAUGCUCAGGGAUGCAUGAUUGUCAGAUCUGGGGUCAGGAAGGAAUUUUCCCUUGGCAAGGAUCUUGGAGGGGAUUUCACCUUUCACUGCAACGUGGAGCAUAAUACACUUGCUGGGAUCAUCUGGGCAUAUCCCACCUAAUCUAUUCCCUGCCAUUGCAGGGGAUUUUAGUAUUGGGGCACCUUGGUAUCUCCUGUUCUCUGCCUGCAUCACACAGUUUAGUCUCCUAAGGACUGAAAUGCUUUAGUCUAACUAAAGUCGUUGUCUCUAUAGGGGUAUCUGGUGAUAUUUAAUGGCCUUUGAUAGACAGGAGGUUAGACUAGAUCAGGGGUUGCCGACCCCUGGACUAAAUGAUCUAACAGCCCCUUCUGGCCUUAAGCUCUAGGAAACUAUCAAAGACUCCCAACAGACUUCAGUGUGCCUUUGAUCAGCCUCCAAGUGUGCAGUUUUUAUGUACUACUUCAGAAAGUUUGAUUUGCAACCAAGGAGCAGGAAAUAUGAGGUUGGAAAGAGUAACUACUAUCCAGCCUGAAAGUACACAGACUGUUCCAUGGUAGUAAAAGACCCUAGCAGUCCUUCAGAGCUGAUAGCAGUCCCUGGCUGGGCACAGAUCCAUGGUCAGACAGUUGCACACAUGAUGAGGCAUCAAGCAGUAGAGAUUCCUAGUGACAGCAUAUGUGUGGAGUUCCACUUUGCUGUGAAUAGUGAACACCUGGGAAAUUAUGCAUGGCAUUUGCAAUUUCCAGCCAUGUUGCAGUCAUUCAGAACUCGGAUGCAGCAGGCCUUACCUCCUCUGGCAAAUAAGGCCUUGGCAUAAUCAGGGUGGGUGAUGUUUAAGAAUGCUGAGAAACUCCCAAACCAGAUCGGGAAGGCAUACGGAUACUUCUGGCUCCAUUGCUCUAUUUUGU